rnacentral:ncRNA from 2 species
GGCUGGAAGCGGGGGUGCCCGGCGGGACGCGGGCUGAGACAUACCCUUCGAACCUGAUCCGGCUGAUACCGGCGUAGGGAAGCUUCGCGACACCCGGG